rnacentral:rRNA from 1 species
CCUUCAUCGGGCCCUGGUGGAAUAAUAUUGCGACGAGGGGGACGGCCGUAUGCUAUAACGCCGCGUGAAUGCUGAACUGAUAUGGAUCGAAAGCUCUACGAUUUGGGACUCGAAUCACGGAUACGGAACAGCUUGGGACGGCUAAAUACCUGCCGGCAGCAGGAGUACUCCGUAGGACGCAAGCAAUGUCCGCAAUUAAGGGCAGUUACCGGGGAGA